rnacentral:rRNA from 1 species
UACGAAGGGUGCAAGCGUUACUCGGAAUUACUGGGCGUAAAGCGUGCGUAGGCGGUUCGUUAAGUCCGUUGUGAAAGCCCUGGGCUCAACCUGGGAAUUGCAGUGGAUACUGGCAAGCUAGGGUGCGGUAGAGGGAAGCGGAAUUUCCGGUGUAGCGGUGAAAUGCGUAGAUAUCGGAAGGAACAUCAGUGGCGAAAGCGGCUUCCUGGACCAGCACCGACGUUCAGGCACGAAAGCGUGGGGAGCAAACAGG